rnacentral:misc_RNA from 1 species
AACUUUUAGCAACGGAUCACUUGGCUCCCAUAUCGAUGAAGAACGCAGCGAAAUGCGAUAACUAACGUGAAUCGCAGAACUUUGUGAAUCGUCGAGUCUUUGAACGCACCUUGCGCCUUCUGGUAUUCCGGAAGGCACAUCUGUUUGAGUGUCAUUUUAAUCCUCAAUUCAUUUAUUUUUUCGGAAAUGGAUGAAGUUGGACAUUGGGUGAUGCGUUUUCUGAAUGCUCAUCUGAAAUGAAGAAUCAACCUGUUGUGUUGCACUUUUGUUAUAGUUUUUCUCUCAAAAGAGUGAUGUGACGAAGGGUUGACUUUGGAUCUCGAUCCACCUUUGAUUCAAGACCUCAAAUCAGAUGGGAUUACCCGCUGAACUUAAGCAUAUCAAAGCGGAGGCU